rnacentral:rRNA from 1 species
AGAUUGAACGCUGGCGGCAUGCUUUACACAUGCAAGUCGAACGGUAACAGGCCGCAAGGUGCUGACGAGUGGCGAACGGGUGAGUAAUGCAUCGGAACGUGCCCAGUCGUGGGGGAUAACGCAGCGAAAGCUGUGCUAAUACCGCAUACGAUCUAUGGAUGAAAGCGGGGGACCGAAAGGCCUCGCGCGAUUGGAGCGGCCGAUGUCAGAUUAGCUAGUUGGUGGGGUAAAGGCCCACCAAGGCGACGAUCUGUAGCUGGUCUGAGGAGGACGACCAGCCA